rnacentral:rRNA from 1 species
GAUGAACGCUGGCGGCGUGCCUAACACAUGCAAGUCGAACGGAAAGGCCAUGCUUUUGUGGGGUGCUCGAGUGGCGAACGGGUGAGUAACACGUGAGUAUCAUGUACCUGUCAUAGGGAUAAAUUCAGGAAACAGGGGAUAUUAUAGGAUAGGAGCUAUUGAAGCAUGGUGGGGGAUGGAAAGAUUCGGCGGUUGGGGAUGGACUGGCGGCUUAUCCGCUUGAUGGUGGGGUAGUGGAUUACCAAGGCUUUGAAGGGUAGCCGGCCUGGGCGGGUGGCCAGCCACAUGAGUACUGAGGUACGGCCCAGACUCCUACGGUACGCAACGGUGGAGAGUAUUGCACAACGAGCCGGCGCCAGAUGCAACGGCGCCGCGUUCGUAAUACCCUCCUUCUGGGUGAAAACCACUUUCUCAUUUAACGAGGCGUGAGUGACGGUAAUUGGUAAGGAAGCACCGGCUAACUACGUG